UUGGCUAUACUUUCAGGGAUCGUUUCUGUAGUUUUUAACUUGGAAAUGUGAUUUGAAUGUGUAUGUCUCCCUAUCUACGAUGAUGAGCCAAUAUGCUUCCUUUUGAGAAUGAAUUGGGUGAAGUGUGAUGAAUUGGGUGAAGUGUGUUUUAUUUCAUGCACUUCAUUCCUGAUGAAUGUUCUUACUGUGUUCCACAGUGUAGAGAAAGGAAGUAUCUUCUGCGUGGG
rnacentral:snoRNA from 1 species